rnacentral:tRNA from 3 species
GGGGGUGUGGCGCAGCUGGGAGCGCGUCUGACUGGCAGUCAGAAGGCCAGGGGUUCGAGUCCCCUCAUCUCCACCA